rnacentral:lncRNA from 1 species
UGCCGUAGGGGGUCGACCGGAAUUUUUAGCGAGGAUUUCUUGGCAUGGCGAGUGGGGCAUCCGUGUACUAUGGACACAUUCUUGUUUUCUUCUUUUUUUUUACUUUCUAUUUUUUUCAAACAUUGAAAUACAUUUGUACUGGAUAGACAUUUAACAUUAACUGCCUAAAAGCUUUACCAAAAUGUUUUGCAAAUUGGAUAAUAAUCUUAGAUACAAUGCUUUGAAUGUGUCAGUUC